rnacentral:ncRNA from 1 species
CGGCGACGUCGGGGUGGCGGCGGAGAAAGGCUCGGCAUUCAGGCGAGCCGCCCGGUGGUGUGGUACGUAGUGGGUGCCCCGCCAAAACGGCUCCGAAACAAACAAAAAGGUGCGUGCCGCACUCACGAGGGACUGUCGGUGAUAUACUGGAGGAAGGUGGGGAUGACGUCAAGUCCGCAUGGCCCUUAUGGGCUGGGCCACACACGUGCUACAAUGGCAAUUACAAUGGGAAGCAAGGCUGUAAGGCAGAGCGAAUCCGGAAAGAUUGCCUCAGUUCGGAUUGUUCUCUGCAACUCGGGAACAUGAAGUUGGAAUCGCUAGUAAUCGCGGAUCAGCAUGCCGCGGUGGAACGAGGUUGAGCUGUAGGCUCCUCUAUUUUGAGAAGGGUAGGUUUUUGUACUAU